rnacentral:rRNA from 1 species
CAGCAUAGAGAGCUUGCUCUCUGAUGGCGAGUGGCGAACGGGUGAGUAAUAUAUCGGAACGUGCCUAGUAAUGGGGAAUAACUAGCUGAAAGGUUAGCUAAUGCCGCAUACGACCUACGGGUGAAAGCAGGGGAUCUUCGGACCUUGCGUUAUUAGAGCGGCCGAUAUCUGAUUAGCUUGUUGGUGGGGUAAUAGCCUACCAAGGCGACGAUCAGUAGCUGGUCUGAGAAGACGAUCAGCCACACUGGAACUGAGACACGGUCCAGACUCCUACGGGAGGCAGCAGUGGGGAAUUUUGGACAAUGGGGGCAACCCUGAUCCAGCCAUUCCGCGUGAGUGAAGAAGGCCUUCGGGUUGUAAAGCUCUUUCGCAAGAGAAGAAAACUUACUAUCUAAUAAAUGGUAAGUAUGACGGUAUCUUGACA